CGACGAACUUCUUUAUCACCGAGUGCUUGCACUCACCGAUAAAGAGUUGAGUGGCGAACGGGUGAGUAACACGUGGGCAACCUGCCCAAAAGAGGGGGAUAACACUUGGAAACAGGUGCUAAUACCGCAUAACCAUAGUUACCGCAUGGUAACUAUGUAAAAGGUGGCUAUGCUACCGCUUUUGGAUGGGCCCGCGGCGCAUUAGCUAGUUGGUGGGGUAAAGGCUUACCAAGGCAAUGAUGCGUAGCCGAACUGAGAGGUUGAUCGGCCACAUUGGGACUGAGACACGGCCCAAACUCCUACGGGAGGCAGCAGUAGGGAAUCUUCCACAAUGGGCGAAAGCCUGAUGGAGCAACGCCGCGUGGGUGAAGAAGGUCUUCGGAUCGUAAAACCCUGUUGUUAGAGAAGAAAGUGCGUGAGAGUAACUGUUCACGUUUCGACGGUAUCUAACCAGAAAGCCACGGCUAACUACGUGCCAUCAGCCGCGGUAAUACGUAGGUGGCAAGCGUUAUCCGGAUUUAUUGGGCGUAAAGGGAACGCAAGCGGUCUUUUAAGUCUGAUGUGAAAG
rnacentral:rRNA from 1 species